AAUCUGGAGAAGCUCCGGCGGGGGCAGAGUGUGGUAUAAAACGUUACUGGACGUCCAGGGCGCGUCGCUUCACCGGCUGCUGGCCAGAGGUACUAGGAGGCGCUGGCAGGAGCCUUGGCGAGGAUGCACCUUUCCCCUGCCUUGGAAAGCCUGGCAUGCAUGCGGGAUCUUAGUUCCCCGACCGGGGAUCUAAUCCGCGCCCCCCUGCAGUGCAAGCACCGGAGUGUGAUCACUGGACGGCCAGGGAAGUCCCCUCAUUCUCAUACUUUCAACAACCUCUUCUGGAUUGACUGACGCAUGAGGGACACCUCUGCUCAAUUCCAGUUAUACGGUGGUGACUUAAAUAUGUAGUUAUUGAGUAAUUUGCAUUCUGUUCUUGUCCAGUGGCCUGAAAGCUCUGGAGACUGAGAAGAUGGGUACUCUUUGUAUCUUAAAAAGAAGCAGGCAAAAGCUGGAACCGGAAAAGAGUAUCAGUGUUACAGUAAAGUGAAGUUAUUAUGUUUUCAGAACUCCUGCAGGCAUUUGCAAGGAAAGGAACUUUUGUUACAUGUGAUUGUCUAAUCAAGAUACAUUUGAAAUGUAUCCACUAGUGGAUAG